GAGGCUGUAAAUUCCUUGAAGAAUGGAGGGCCCCGUGGGAGCAGGUGCGUGUGUGGGGCGAGGCUGGAGAAGUAGGAGGGACCAACUGUAAUUCUGAGCUCUGUUGGGACAGGGCCUAGGUGAUGGAGCGUCCAGGGUUGUGAACACCGUAGCCAUUGGCCACAUACGGCUAUUUAAGUAUAAAUUUAAAUGAACUGAAAUGUAAUGCGUUAAAGAACUUAGGUUCUCAAACUAGCCACUUUCAAGGGCUCAACAGCCCUGUGGGACCAGCGGCUGUCACACUGGAGAGCACGGAUACAGAACAUUCCCAUCACCAUCACAGAAACUUCUAUUGAACAGUGCACAUCUAGGGAUCUGAAGGGGGCGGUGCCAGGGGGGCGUGGCCCAGAUGUCUGAACAGCUGCAGACUCCAGCACCGCCCUGCUGUGCGUAGGAUUACUAAACUGGUGGGCCUUGAGCCUAUAGCUGCUGAGGACCAUCUUACCUUUCUGAGGGGAGAGCCUGCCGUGGAAUAAACCCAGCAUAGAGAAAAGCAGAGACAAGAGAGGUCAAGAAAAAUUCCUGGGUUACACAGUUGGAGCACCUGGAUCUAACCAUACCUGAAGGUGAAUUUCCAAUAAAGUCCCAUUUUUGCUUGGGCUGCUUUGAGCUGUGCUUCUAUCUAAUACACUUGGAAAGGCCUUCCUGAAUCCACUGGGAAGAGGCAUCAUGCAACUACCCCAGCCUGGGUUUGCAGAGGCACUGUGUCCAGGUAGCUGUACAACGGUUCCAGUGGUACAGAUGUUGAGUUAACAGAGAGUAAAGCUGAUCCCACUGAACCUUCUGCCGAGACCAGCUCAGCGACUCGAAGUGAGUGACAGGUGCCGCAAGCUUGAAGAAGACACAGACACAGACUGAAGAGAAAAGUGGGACCGGGAGGCUCAAGACCUCUCGGAUCAAGAGCCCUGCUGACUCAUCCCAGGUUGCUUUUAUUGAGUUUGUGGGCUAACAUUCUCAGGUUACACCCAUAAACAAUCAAAGGCCUCACAUGACUGAGGCAAUUAUCUUUGUUUGCUUCCUGGGUCCCAGUUGAGCAGGUGUGGAUUUGAGCUGGGCCUGGAGAGCAAAACAGCCCUGGGGGCAGGAGACCUCUCUCAGAUAUUGGGGGUCUGUGCCCCACCCCUGUUGGCCCCUCUGCGACUGUGCCUGUCUUAGGUUGUUCCUCCCUUGAGGAAUCUUACCCGUCUCUGGCUAACCAGUCAUCCUCCAGGGCCAAACAGGGUGAUAUAAGGAAGGCUCUAUACACCACCCCUGUUGGCCCCUCUGCGGCUGUGCCUGUCUUAGGUUGUUCCUCCUCUGAGGAAUCUUACCCGUCUUUGGCUAACCAGCCGUCCUUCAGGGCCAAACAGGGUGAUAUUAGUCUCCACGCCCCGCACCCUUAGCUCCUCCACUGCUCAAGCAGGACAUUCUGAAUCCCAUCGCUCGGCCCACAUACUUUAACAUUUUCAAGGUUUCAGAAAGGUUCCCGAAUGUCUUCCCACAACCUUCCAUGAGGGGGCUUAGGGGAAGGAUGGGAGAGAGAGAGAGAGAGCAUUCUUGCGGCUGAGGGACUCCUUUAACCAGGGGCCACCUCUAAACUCCUCCCUCAGAGGGAAUCCUACUAUGAUUUCCUCAUUUGAUCCCUCUGUUCUCCCCACCUAGGGGGCUCCUCACCUCUGACCAGGGUGGUCACUUCUGCCUGGCCAGUCCCUAGGGCAUUGGUGACAAAGCAGAUGAAAGUUGUGUUGAUGGACUCGUCCACGGUAUUGAUCAGGAGCCGGGUGCCUUGGGCCACAGCACAAGGUGGCAGGGGUCCCAUGGUCCUAGGAGAGACAGAUGGGUGAGGAAGUGGUAACAGGUGAUGGGGUACUUGCUGUAUGCUAGGAAUACAGAAACCCCCACGCCAUCUAUAAUACAAGUUGAGAGCAAGCCUGGAGCUCCCCUGACUCUGCCUCUCACACUCCCAUCCAGCCUAUCGGCAGAUCCUGUCUGCCCCACCUUCAAAAUCUAUCCUGAAUCUGAUCGCUCCUCAGGGCCUGAGCAGAGACCUGAAGGAGGCGAGGAUGAGUGGUGUGGGUACCGUGGGGAAGAGCAUUCCAGGCAUAGGGAACAGCAUAUGCGAAGACCCUGAGAUGAGAGCAUAACUGGAGUGUUCGAGGAUCUAAAAGGAGGCUGCCGUGGAUAUAGAGGUGAGAACAAAAGACCACGGCCACCAUUCUGGUCUGUUCCCUCUACUCCUGGGUCACUGUGGCCACCUUCUCACUGGGUUCCUUGCUUUCAGCCCGCUCUGUCCUCCACUCAGCAGCCUUAGAGAUCUUGUUAGAACUAAGUCAGCUCAAGUCCCUCCUCUGUCCCAAGCCCUCCCAUAAAGGAAAAGUCCUUACCACGGGCACAGGUCCCACACCAGCUGGCUCCCUGAUGCCACUGACCCCUUUGCUCUCGCUUCUAUAUCCAUGGUGGCCGACUUGUUGAUCCUCGAACACUCCAGUUAUGUUCCCACCAUAUGCUGUUCCCUAUUGCUGGAAAGCCCUUCCCAUCAGUACCCACACUGCUCACCCUCACCUCCUUCAGGCCUCUGCUCAGAUGUCACUUUCAUGACACCUUCCUUGGCCCCCCUCUUUCAACUGCUGUGACCCCCUUCUGACCCCUCUCCUCUGCUUUAUCUUUUGCACGGCAUUUAUCACCACCCGACACACUCCAUCUUUGACAAUGUUAUUUUGGUUUGUUUUUUUUUUAUUUUAAUAUUUUUUUAUUUCGGCCACGCCCUGCGGCUUGCAGGAUCUUAUUUCCCUGACCAGGGAUUGAAUCCGGGCUCUCCCAGUGAAAAAGAAGAAUCCUAACCACUGGACCCCCAGGGAAGUUAUCCUACGUUAUCUUGUUUAAUCGUUUCUCUCCCUCACCAGAAAGAGACGAGGAGGGAAUUUGGUCUAUUUAUCAAGAUUUGUGAGUCCACAGAAGCCGGCACACAGGAAGCAGUCAAGAAACACUGGUUUAGUGGCGGAGGAGACGCAGGCAUGGAUUUGGGCUGCAGAGCUGGCAUGGAAACCCGGCCGGGUGGCUCGUGGGCCUGAACUGUGGUGCUUUGGGGAAGGUAGGUAAAGGCCGGUUGUCAGUAGCAAUCGAAAAGCUUCGACCGGCAGUUCCUCUGGCUGACCACUGAGACACGACUGUGGCUGUCCACAGAGGUGGACGGACGGGGAUGCUUGGCACCACAGCAUUUGCAUAGUUGAAAACGGGAAAGCACCUCGGUAUCCCCAUUUGGGUUAAGUCAUUGAAGACGGCAUCCAUGACGGAAUCCCAGCAUCAUGAAGAAGGGGGCUGUGGGUACCUCGACAUGCAUAAAAGAUAAGGACUGGUGGAUAGAUGGAGACAGGAAUGGACCGAAGGGCAAGAAGGUGAGCAAGCAAGUACAUGAAAACAUUCGCAGGGGAAUCCACGUGGUGGGGUUCUUGAGUGUUCACUGGAAAAUCCUUACAACUUUUCUGUAUGUGUGAAAAAUUUCCUGAUAAAAUGUUGGGGGAAAAUAGA